rnacentral:rRNA from 1 species
UUCCGGUUGAUCCCGCCGGACCUGACUGCUAUCGGAUUGAUACUAAGCCAUGCGAGUCAUUGUAGUAAUACAAGGCAGACGGCUCAGUAACGCGUAGUCAACCUACCCUAUGGACGGGGAUAACCUCGGGAAACUGAGAAUAAUACCCGAUAGAACAUUAUACCUGGAAUGGUUUAUGUUUCAAAUAAUUUAUUGCCGUAGGAUGGGACUGCGGCCUAUCAGUUUGUUGGCGAGGUAAUGGCCCACCAAGACUAUUACAGGUACGGGCUCUGAGAGGGGUAGCCCGGAGAUGGGUACUGAGACACGGACCCAGGUCCUAUGGGGCGCAGCAGGCGAGAAAACUUUGCAAUGUGUGAAAGCACGACAAGGUUAAUCCGAGUGAUUCCUGCUAAAGGAAUCUUUUGUUAGUCGUAAAACCACUGAUGAAUAAGGGGUGGGCAAGUUCUGGUGUCAGCCGCCGCGGUAAAACCAGCACCUCAAGUGGUCAGGAGGAUUAUUGGGCCUAAAGCAUCCGUAGCCUGGUGUAUUAGUUUUCGGUUAAAUCCAUAUGCUCAACAUAUGGGCUGCCGGGAAUACUAUACACCUAGGGAGUGGGAGAGGUAGACGGUACUCGGUAGGAAGGGGUAAAAUCCUUUGAUCUAUCGAUGACCACCUGUGGCGAAGGCGGUCUACCAGAACACGUCCGACGGUGAGGGAUGAAAGCUGGGGGAGCAAACCGGAUUAGAUACCCGGGUAGUCCCAGCUGUAAACAAUGCAAACUCAGUGAUGCACUGGCUUGUGGCCAGUGCAGUGCCGCAGGAAGCCGUUAAGUUUGCCGCCUGGGAAGUACGUACGCAAGUAUGAACUUAAAGGAAUUGGCGGGGAGCACCACAAGGGUGAAGCCUGCGGUUCAAUUGGAUUCAACGCCGGA